rnacentral:misc_RNA from 1 species
GUGAAAGCUAUCAAGAAAAGAACAUGCUUACUCUCUGUUAAAGCAUGUGAAAGAGUGAAAAUCAAUAUGUUGUUCUUUCAGAGCAUUGGGUUUACCGAUGAUGAUAUCAAAAAAUUCAUACUUCAAAACCCAUAUACUCUUUUGGCAAGUCCUGAGGUUGUAGAGGAAAAAGUUCACAGACUUGAAAAUGAAUUUCAUAUUUCUCGAGCAUCGGGAUUGUUUAUCCAUGGAGUUGAUGUGUUUAUUUCGAUGAAAGAGUCGACUGUAGACACAAAACUUGAUGUUUUAAGGGAUUAUGGUUGGUCUAAAUGGGAGAUAAUCAAAUUGGUUCAGCUUUUGCCUU